rnacentral:lncRNA from 1 species
GCCUGCACCCAGGUGAUUAAAAGCUUUAUUGCUCACACAAAGCCUGUUUAGUGGGCUCUUCACACGGACGCGCAUGCAAGGAAGGAGGUUUUUCAUCAGUGGACCAGCUUACUUAGAUUUUCACCAAAUCAUCCGAUUCAUCUGCAGAAUUUGCUUUGGGAACUGCCUAGGAGUUUGUUUUCAAUUGGUCCACACGUGCUUGGCAAACACCCUGAGUGUUGCAGACUGUGGGUUUAGUCUUCCACUGGAGUAUUCUCAAAUUGCCUUUGCAGUUUUAGAAUAAGACCUCUUAUAAUAAGCUUCCCACUGUCAAUGUUUUCAGACACUUUAAAAAAUGCCUCUUGCUGCAGGGCUUCUUCUUGAUAUAUGCCAGUCACACUCCCCCAAACUCCUCUCCAAGUAGAGAACUAAAGCUCUAUCAAAUAUUUCAUCCCAACUUAAUUUUCUAGGGUAUUUGUUGUUGUUGUUGUUGUUGUUGUUGUUUAUUUUGGCAGUUAGGCUUGUUCCUGAAGUUUAAAUGGCACGGUUUAAAUCAUGUUCUGUGCAUACAGGGAGGCCAUGUGUUCCCUGGGGCCCAGGACACCCAGCCUGGGUGCUACGUAAUGCGGCCUUCCUGUCUUAUGGGGCAUUGCUAACAGGUGGCCCAUCCCAAAUGCCUGCAGAUUUUCAGAGGGGCGCUGAACUCCCCAGAGAGGAAGGAUAGUGCGGAGAUUUCCAUUGUCUUGCUUUGGUUUAGAAAGCCCCAGGGUAGGGGUGAGUCCUGGUCCCGCCCCAGCCCUCGUGAAGACCCACCUGCCUCAGAGAAUGGCUGAGCUCCAGAGACACCUGAGUCAGUGCCCAGCCUGGCAGGAUCUUCUGCAACUACGUGCACCGGCACCUGUGCUGCAGGCCUCCCGCUCCCAGCCACGGACCAGCACCUGGGCUCAGGCCUUUAAGACCAGGAGUUGGCUGUGGAGGCUGAGGAGAGGCGAGACUUUGGCGUGCGGCUUGCGUGACUGCAACUAGACAAGGCAUGACUACUUGGACAUGUCAACCAAUCCUUAAGGAUGCAAUGAAACAAAGCAAAUCCAGUGGCUCAUUAAGACAGUACAAGAGACAAAUGCGACAAAACGUCAACUGGUGAACAUUCACAGGAUUACUAAACACUGCAGAAAUUCUCUAACAGGAUUUUUUUAACCAAGUUUGUGUAAUACAAUUUCAUGAAUUAUGCAAAUAAAGGUUUAGGCUAUUCACAGAAAAGCCCAGUGUUAUGUUACUUUCAUUGCAUAGAACUGAGAACUGAACACAUCAAUCACAAAAGUCACAGGAGACACUGCUGCAUUCCUGCUUGCUGAUGGCUCUGUUGAAACAUUUCCAUUUCAGACAAUAAAAAAAAAAAAAAAAAAAAAAAAA